rnacentral:rRNA from 1 species
GACGAACGCUGGCGGCGUGCCUAAUACAUGCAAGUCGACCUUAGUGGUGAACGGGUGAGUAACACGUGGGUAACCUGCCCAUCAGAAGGGGAUAACACUUGGAAACAGGUGCUAAUACCGUAUACUGAUGGAUGGACCCGCGGUGCAUUAGCUGGUUGGUGGGGUAACGGCUCACCAAGGCCACGAUGCAUAGCCGGCCUGAGAGGAGGAUCGGCCACAUUGGAACUGAGACACGGCCCAAACUCAGACGGGAGGCAGCAGUAGGGAAUCUUCGGCAAUGGACGAAAGUCUGACCGAGCAACGCCGCGUGGAUGAAGAAGGUUUUCGGGUCGUAAAGCUCUGUUGUUAGAGAGGCGGUAUCUAACCAAAAAGCCACGGCUAACUACGUGCCAGCAGCCGCGGUAAUUC